UUGACAUCCAGAGAACUUGGCAGAGAUGCUUUGGUGCCUUCGGGAACUCUGAGACAGGUGCUGCAUGGCUGUCGUCAGCUCGUGUUGUGAAAUGUUGGGUUAAGUCCGCAACGAGCGCAACCCCUAUCCUUUGUUGCCAGCGAUUCGGUCGGGAACUCAAAGGAGACUGCCGGUGAUAAACCGGAGGAAGGUGGGGAUGACGUCAAGUCAUCAUGGCCCUUACGAGUAGGGCUACACACGUGCUACAAUGGCGCAUACAAAGAGAAGCGACCUCGCGAGAGCAAGCGGACCUCAUAAAGUGCGUCGUAGUCCGGAUCGGAGUCUGCAACUCGACUCCGUGAAGUCGGAAUCGCUAGUAAUCGUAGAUCAGAAUGCUACGGUGAAUACGUUCCCGGGCCUUGUACACACCGCCCGUCACACCAUGGGAGUGGGUUGCAAAAGAAGUAGAUAGCUUAACCUUCGGGAGGGCGUUUACCACUUUGUGAUUCAUGACUGGGGUGAAGUCGUAACAAGGUAAGCGUAGACGU
rnacentral:rRNA from 1 species